AUUGAACGCUGGCGGCAGGCCUAACACAUGCAAGUCGAGCGAGCGUCGGACGGGUGAGUAUAGUAUUGGGACUUCCCGAUAGAGGGGGAUAACUAUUGGAAAAGGUAGCUAAUACACCAUACUAUCGUAUAACCCCUAUGGGCUUAGCUCGUAGGGGGGGUAAUGGCUCACCUAGGCGACGAUCCCUAGCUGGUCUGCGAGGAUGAUCAGCCACACUGGAACUGAGACACGGCCCAGACUCCUACGGAGGCAGCAGUGGGGAAUAUUGCACAAUGGGCGCAAGCCUGAUGCAGCCAUGCCGCGUGUAUGAAGAAGGCCCUAGGGUUGUAAAGUACUUUCAGUCGGGAGGCGUUACCGACAGAAGAAGCACCGGCUAACUCCGGGCCAGCAGCCGCGGUAAUAC
rnacentral:rRNA from 1 species